rnacentral:rRNA from 1 species
UUGGGUUAAGUUCCCGCAACCGAGCGCAACCCCUAUUGUUAGUUUGCCAUCAUUCAGUUGGGCACUCUAGCGAGACUGCCGGUAAUAAACCGGAGGAAGGUGGGGAUGACGUCAAAUCAUCAUGCCCCUUAUGACCUGGGCUACACACGUGCUACAAUGGUUGGUACAACGAGUUGCGAGUCGGUGACGGCGAGCUAAUCUCUUAAAGCCAAUCUCAGUUCGGAUUGUAGGCUGCAACUCGCCUACAUGAAGUCGGAAUCGCUAGUAAUCGCGGAUCAGCACGCCGCGGUCGAAUACGUUCCCGGGCCUU